rnacentral:rRNA from 1 species
UGAGCUUAGCUUGCUAAGCUGAUGGCGACCGGCGCACGGGUGAGUAACGCGUAUCCAACCUCCCCUUAGUAGGGCAUAGCCCGGUGAAAAUCGGAUUAAUACCCUAUGUUCUUCACAGCGGGCAUCUAACGUGAAGCAAAGGUUCACCGCUAAGGGAUGGGGAUGCGUCUGAUUAGGUAGUCGGCGGGGUAACGGCCCACCGAGCCAUCGAUCAGUAGGGGUUCUGAGAGGAAGGUCCCCCACAUUGGAACUGAGACACGGUCCAAACUCCUACGGGAGGCAGCAGUGAGGAAUAUUGGUCAAUGGUCGAGAGACUGAACCAGCCAAGUAGCGUGCAAGGGAUGACGGCCCUAUGGGUUGUAAACUGCUUUUAUGCGGGGAUAAAGUCACCCACGUGUGGGUGUUUGCAGGUACCGCAUGAAUAAGGACCGGCUAAUUCCGUGCCAGCCGCAGC